UAUAUAUAUAUGUAUAUGUGUUGUGUGUGUGCUUGUGUAUAAGAAUGAAACAAAAUGUAUACUUUCUAUGCUAUUUUCAUAGGGACUCAUACACUAAUGGUGACCUACAUAGAAGUGCUUUUUACUACAGUAUAACUUAUUUGUGUUUAAAUUUAAUGAUCAAUUAUUGUUUUAAAAUAAUAAAUAUGUUAAAAAUAAAUCCUCUUUGUAAAGUCCUAAUUUUUAGUUACAAGCUUGGAAAGAAAAUACUGUAUUUUCCAAAAAAAAAAAAAAAAAAAAAAAUUCAAUCUGCACAAUAUACCACAAGAUGUCAGUCUUGUCAGAGAACGCUCCGGCCCUCGACUCGUACAGGGAUGGAGAAGUUUCAGGAUCUGUCUUCCUUUCAGCUCGUUUUGAUUUGAUCUCGCGCCAUGUUAGCAUAAACUUCAGUUCUGUUCGAUUAUACAGGAAGGCCAGGAAUAUUGAUUGGCAGACAGGCAAGCUUCAAGACACAAAUGUUUUAUGAUGUACAUUGCAAAAUCCAGAAAGUUGUGCAAAUAAUAUGUCCAUAUUCAUCAGAGCCUUAUCCUAUACUGAACAAACUACUCCUUUAACCAAAACUUGGCACAAAGAUCUCUCGCUCUGGAAUCAGGUCACAGCUUGUGGAUUUCUCCUGAUGGACUGCAACAGAGUUCCAGAAGUUCUAACUUUUUCAUAGGUGUUCAUUUUGUCUGAUUUGUUCUAACCACCUUCUGAACAGAGGCUAGAUUUACUCUUGAUUCUAGAGAAAGUUUUCUUUUUCUUUUUUGUUGUUGUUUUUUUCUUUUUAAUUUCUGAUUAUAACUUUCCAGCCCAGCAGCUUGAGCAUGUCUGUUGUUGGCAGUUUUUGCAGGUCAGAAAAAAACUAGAUAUUUCAUCCAUCCAUCCAUUCUCUUUAUCCUACACAGGGUCGUGGGAAGCCUGGAGCCUAUCCCAGGGGAUUCGGGGUACAAGACUGGGGGACACACUGGACGGGGUGCCAAUCCAUUUCAAGGCACAAUUGCACACACUCUUGCACACAUAUUCAGACACUACAGACACUUUGGACAUGAAAAUCAGACUAUAAUGCAUAUCUUUGGACUGAGGGAGGAAACCGGAGUACAACACGUGUCAUUGGACUGAGGGUGGAAACUGGAGUACCUGGAGGAAACCCCCAAAGCACGGGGAGAACAUGCAGACUCCACGCACACAGAGCGGAGGUUUUCCAGAGAGGCUGUGAUCUGAAGGAGCAAUGAGAGAUGUUGGGGAGAUGUGUAUGAUGUUGCUAUGGUGUAGAGCACAGAUCCAGGCUGGAGCAGAGACAGGAACUGUGCUGAAACACAUGCCAGAAUAAGCAAUCUGGAUUCAGG
ensembl:lncRNA